GGAGUUAGCCGGUGCUUCUUCUGCGAGUAACGUCACAGAUGUAAGGUAUUAACUUACACCCUUUCCUCCUCGCUGAAAGUGCUUUACAACCCGAAGGCCUUCUUCACACACGCGGCAUGGCUGCAUCAGGGUUUCCCCCAUUGUGCAAUAUUCCCCACUGCUGCCUCCCGUAGGAGUCUGGGCCGUGUCUCAGUCCCAGUGUGGCUGAUCAUCCUCUCAGACCAGCUAGGGAUCGUCGCCUAGGUGAGCCUUUACCUCACCUACUAGCUAAUCCCACCUGGGCUUAUCCAUCAGCGCAAGGCCCGAAGGUCCCCUGCUUUCCCCCGUAGGGCGUAUGCGGUAUUAGCAGUCGUUUCCAACUGUUAUCCCCCACAAAUGGGCAAAUUCCCAGGCAUUACUCACCCGUCCGCCGCUCGUCAUCUUCAAAAGCAAGCUUUUGAAAUGUUACCGCUCGACUUGCAUGUGUUAGGCCUGCCGCCACGCGUUCAUCUGAACCAAGAUACAAACUUACUGA
rnacentral:rRNA from 1 species